rnacentral:rRNA from 1 species
GGAACCACCUGAUCCCAUGCCGAACUCAGAAGUGAAACGCGGUAGCGCCGAUGGUAGUGUGGCAUUCGCCAUGCGAGAGUAGGACACUGCCAGGC